rnacentral:rRNA from 1 species
UGGGGAAUAUUGGACAAUGGGCGCAAGCCUGAUCCAGCCACGCCGCGUGAGUGAUGAAGGCCUUCGGGUCGUAAAGCUCUGUGGGGAGGGACGAACCGCCGGUGGUUCAUAGCCAACGGCAUGACGGUACCUCCUUAGCAAGCACCGGCUAACUUCGUGCCAGCAGCCGCGGUAAUACGAAGGGUGCAAACGUUGCUCGGAAUUAUUGGGCGUAAAGCGCACGUAGGCGGCUUCGCAAGUCCCAUGUGAAAGCCCACGGCUUAACCGUGGAAGUGCAUGGGAAACUGCAGAGCUUGAGUACUUAAGAGGAUCGCGGAAUUCCCGGUGUAGAGGUGAAAUUCGUAGAUAUCGGGAGGAACACCAGUGGCGAAGGCGGCGAUCUGGGAAGAUACUGACGCUGAGGUGCGAAAGCGUGGGGAGCAAACAG